rnacentral:rRNA from 1 species
AAUCAGCGCUGGCGGCGUGCCUCAGACAUGCAAGUCGAACGAUUAAAGCUCUCUUCGGAGAGUGUAUAGAGUGGCGCACGGGUGAGUAACACGUAAGUAAUCUACCCUCGAGUGGGGAAUAACGUCCGGAACGGACGCUAAUACCGCAUAAUGCAGCGGCACCGCAAGGUGACAGUUGUUAAAGAUUUAUCGCUUGAGGAGGAGCUUGCGGCAGAUUAGCUAGUUGGUAAGGUAAUGGCUUACCAAGGCUACGAUCUGUAACCGGUCUAAGAGGACGGUCGGUCACACUGACACUGAAUAACGGGUCAGACUCCUACGGGAGGCAGCAGUC